UGAGGACUUGAAUCUUUUGAGUAUAGGAGUUAAUUGUGAAGUAUAGAAGGAGACUUCAAUAUUAAUAGUUAAUCAAUGGGUUGAGUCCACUCGAGAGGGGGCUUAGCCUAGAAUAGCGAUUGUCCUUCUAAUCCUAGAGACUUCAACGGGUAAUCAAAGUUGUUGAGUUGUUUACAUUGUGGGUAUUGUAGUCGGAUCCAAAGCUCUACCUCGUUCUCUUAUUUGAAACCUAUCCUUUGUUGCGUGCUUUUAACUUGUUUAUGUUUAAUUGUUUUUCCAAGAAUCAACCAAACCUUUGAAUCGUCUAGAUAGUAGUUAAAAUCGGUCCGUGGUACUUGAGUUUAUACAUUUUGUCUCUGUGGGAUACGAUACUCUUGCUUGCUUUGUGCUACACUAGCCCCGUACACUUGCGGGAUUUUCUUGUGUUAAAAUAAGUUGAGUCAGCAUGGGAAUAGGUGCUCUUACAUACUGAACAGUUAAACUUGUUAUCCUCUGCCUCCACCUUCUUAAAACAGGUCUUACAUGACAUGUAAUACCAUGUAUCAUAAUGUGCUUCCACAGAUACAAUCUUUCCAAAAACCCAAUAUAAACCAUCCUGUGAAUAAUUGGCAGAAAUGAACUAAUCUAAUGUAAGACAGUUUAAUUAACAAAAUAAGUCAAUGUAAACUUAUUCAUUUCAAUUGGGCAAAGAAAUAUUUAAUACAUCUAGACAUUCUAAAUCCUCAAGAGACUCACUGUAAGAUUUUCAAACUCACUGUUAAUGAAUGGUCCAACUUGACCCAAAGAACCAUAGGGAAUAAAUCUCUCAUCACCUUCAAUUCUAUAAAAAUAUCAUCCAAAAAUCAGUUGACAAUAAGAAAAUAAAUAACUACAUAGUUGUAGAACAUAUUCAUCUUACAAAAUGUGAGAACUAUAUUACACCUAAUAGCUUAUACCUUUUCCUAAAAGCAGUAACUUCAUCUAAUUCUGGAUUAAUUAGAACCUUCGACGCUUGAAAGUGUGUCGAUAUUCUCAUUUCACCUAAUACAUUAUAAAAUCAGAUUAGGAAUACAGUUUAUGUCAGAUAACCAAUGAAGAAAAACAAACAACAAAGAGACAAAUGUAAGAGAAAUGAAACCUCUGAAUAAAUUAGUCUUGCAAAUUUGAACAAUAACAAUGGGAAUGGUUCCUUUACUCUUUUUGAAAUCUUCCUUAUAAGAAUCAACAUUUGAUUCCCAAAUGGUACAAAAUAUUUUAUUAUGCCUGUACACAAAAAAGAAGUGUUAACUUUCAGACAAAUCCAAGUACAGAAUUUUAAUUUACAACUCUUCAUACAACUUACUGUUCAUCACUGAUUUCAAUCUCAAUAAGUCUGUACUUAGAUUGCUUGAGCUCUUUUCCUGGAUUAGUGAUAACUCCAAUAACAUCUGUAAAUUAAUAAAUCAGAAAUAAACCUAUGUACUGAGUAUUAAAACAAACAUAUUACAACAUAGAAUUUAAAUCCUUACCAAAAAAAAGCUGUGUCAUCAUACUGUCUCAAUAGGGAAAUUUCAGGGAAUGGCUUGAAAGCAAACAUCAUUCUAAGAAAUGUCAAAUCUUUAACCUCAAACACCUCAGUGUAGCUAUUCAUCACCAGCCUAAACUGGUGGUUUGUAGCUUUGUUUUUAGAGUGUUAUUCUGCACCAAAAAAAAUUUAAUAUAAAACACACAACCUUCCCUAAGUAGAGAGGCCAGCUUUUUCAUGAUGUUAUUAGUAAAUGAUGCUUGUAUUCUUGUCCCCUGUAAUAACACAAGACAUUAGUAAUUAGUUCCAUUUAGUUUACAAUAACAGCCUACUUCAUUGGUAAACAAAAGAUGAUACCUCAAUAUCAUGCAACACACACUCUAGGCUGUUAUCAUUCUUAUCUUCGGGAACCCCUUCAUACCUACGGACACAUCUUACUUUGAUGGUCGAGGUAGUGAUUGCCUUGGAAAGAUUAGUUAAGCAUGUUACAAAAGGCGACAUUUCUUCACAAUCUGCUCAAUUAGAUGGAAACAUGAAAUACUGUCAGGAGAUGGACUGUACUAACAGAUUAAACACUUAGUCCACUUAUCAUUGACAUAAACCAAUAACAAUAUAAUCUCUUAUUUGCAGAAAAAAUGCAGGGGAUGAGGUUGGUAAUCUGUGCAAGCAGAAAGAUGCAACAACGGGAGAGCUAUAUGUUGAAACUAAAGGGACUUGAAGAGGAACUUUCACAAAAAUGGAGUUCAAAACCUUUUGAUUACAACCCUAAAAAGCAGCCGCCUACCACUCUCUCCACAAGAAAAAGAUAGAGACAAAGCCAUUCAAAAAGAAAGCUACCUACACAGAGGCUGCUAAAGUUCUGAAAAUGGAUCCUUCCAUAAGAACCUCUUCAAGUCUACAAAGGUUAGGAGAAGGCCAAGCAAUGCAUAUCAAAAGGUUAUGAAUUCUCAUAAGGAAGAGAAGCAAUUCAUACCAUAAAUUAAGGUAAUUACAUUGCUGUCCAGAAUACUUAUACUACUUAUCAGGUAAUUACAUUACUUUCCAGAAUAUUUAUAGCAAGA